GGGUGGGCCUGUCUUGUGGCCCCUAAGAGGCUCUUAUUCAACAUUUAACAUUUACAGCCCCUGAUGGUUUAUACUGAAACCCGCUGCCUCCCUCCCUGUGCCUCCUGUUGCCCUCCCCUGAUGUACCCCUCUUCCUGAGAUUUUUGGGGAAUUCCUUGAAGCUCCUUCAAGAGGCCUGUGUGUGUCAGUCUCUCAGUCCUGUCCAACUUUUUGGAACCUCGUGGGCUAUAGCCCACCAGGUUCCUCUGUCCAUGGGAUUCUCCAGGCAAGAGUACUGGAGUGGGUUGCCAUUCCUUUCUUCAGGAGAUCUUCCCGACCCAGAGAUUGAACCUGUGUCUCCUGCAUUGCAGGCAAAUCCUUUACCCUCUGAGCCACCAAGGAAGCCCAUGAGCACUCAGAAAUGAAAAUAAGAAGAUAGGAGGAUGUGGACCUGGAAUAUAGGAGGAAAAGAAUAGAUAUUAUCUUUCCGGGAGAACUUUCUUUCAGCUUGGCUGUGCCUCUGAGGUUUGCCGAGAGCCAGAGGGUAGGCAGAGUUGGGUGGGCUGGGAUUGGGGGGCCUGGAAGUCAGGGCUGUGUCUCUGUUUCCUGGGUGAGCCUGAAGAGAUGGCCCAGUGCUACUCAGCGCCUUGCUUCCCCACCUGGAGUAAGAACGGUAUGCUCACCUUCCUUUCUGGCUCGCCAGGGCAUAGGAGGGUGAGUGGAUAUUUGUAAUCACGUUAUUGAGGCCCAAACAAAGUGCCGCAGAUGUGUCUAGACACACUGACUGUGUCCCCUGGAGCAAAGUGCAGAGUAUAACCAUACCCUGAGAGGGGGUUCCUUGGCCCCCCGGGGCAGUUGCCUAGAGACUGAAGUGAGGGCCAUCUGAAGAAGCUACAGCCUGGGGUUGUAGUAGCCUCUGAGAAUAGAAGCAGGUGAGACAGAUCAAGAUUUGGGGUCUCAUGGUAGUCUAAGGGGGCUACUCUGCCCCCCCUCCUUUGGGCUGAGCAAGGAUGCCAGCAGAGAGAGAUGCGUCCCCUUUCAGUGCCCUGGGGCUUGGUGGUUAGCAUCCUGGUCACCAGGGACUUCCCUAACAUCACACCUGUCCAUGGUCCCUUCGCAGUCUGUGAGCAGAGGUUCCUGUGAUCAGGACAUGGGACUGAAAGUCAUCUAAUUCACCCAAAUGCCUGUCCUCUUGUAUAAAGUCUCUUUGUUUCUAUAGAAACUGAGUGUCUGGAAUCACCUGAGUUGUGUGAUAUUGCUUGUCGUUUCUUCUCCUUGAGUCUCAAUUUAUUCAUCUGCAAAACAGGAGGGGAGGGCUGAUGGGAAGUUGGAUAUCAUUAUCUGUAAGAAUAUUCCAGUUCAGUGCUGGUGUUUUCAGGUCUAAGAAUCCUUGCCACCUCCUGAAGUGGUCCUCUCCUGCCCUGAUGGUGUAGCAACUCUCCACCCUUUAGACUCCGAGGCAACCCCAACCACCACUUCUUUCUUAAGACUCUUGAGAUAAUGCUUCUGGCUGAUUAUGAUCCCUGGGGCAGUGCCGAAACCCCACUCUGCAGAUCAGCUGGACUUUCCAAGCCACUUCUGCUUUCUCAGGUGGAGAUGGUAUACUUUUCUGACAUCCAUCCAUCCAUCCACUCAUCCAUCCAUCCACCUAUCCCUCAUCCAUUCAUCCAUCCUUCAAUUCAUACACCCACCUAUUCACUCAUCCAUCCAUCUACCCACUCAUCUACCCAUACUAAAAAUGGUUAUUUGGAGUGCCAAUUACAAACCAAACACUCUACCAGGGGUUAGACAAACAGAGAUAAGAAGACAUAGCUCCAACAUGAAGGAACUUACUGCCCAAGAGGCUGCAAAUGGGCAAUAUACAACUAUAAUACAAAGCAAGCUUCCCAGGUGGCGUUAGUGGUAAAGAAACUGCCUGCCAAUGCAGGAAACUUGGGGGACAUGGGUUUGAUCCCUGGGUCAAGAAGAUCCCCUGGAAGAGGGCACGGCAACCCACUCCAGUAUUCUUGCCUGGAAAAUCCCAUGAACAGAGGAGCCUGGCAGGCUACAGUCCAUGGGGUUGCAGAGUCAGACAUGACUGAAGUGACUUAGCAUGCAUGCAGGCAUAAUACAAAACACGACACGGUUUUAGAGUUAGCCGUAGAUUUUAUUUCUGCCUCUACCAUUCACUUAAUAGUUGUGUGAGCUUGGGUGAGGUACUUAAGUUCUCCGAAUCUGUUUCUUUAUUUGUAGAGAUAAAUCUCAAUAAACGUUGCUUUCCUUUCUCCAUAAGAGAGGUACCAGAAUGUGCCAUGGAAAUACAGGACAGGGAGAGGUUCCUGAGUGCCAGAAGCCUCAAGGAAGUCCUCCUAGCUGUUCAGUAGCUCAGUUGUGUCUGACUCUUUGCAACCCCAUGGACUGAAGCAUGCCAGGCUUUCCUGUCCUUUACUAUCUCCUGGAGUUUGCUCAAACUUAUGUCCGUUGAAUUGGUAAUGCCAUCCAACCAUCUCAUUCUCUGUCAUCCCCUUCUCCUCCUGUCCUCAAUCUUUCCCAGCAUCAGGGUCUUUUCCAAAGAGUUGGAUUUUUCCAUCAGGUGGCCAAAGUAUUGGAGCUUCAGCUUCAGCAUCAGUCCUUCCAAUGAAUAUUCAGGGUUGGUUUCCUUUAGGAUUGAGUGGUUUCAUUUCCUUUCAGUCCAAGGGACUCUUUAGAGUCUUCCCCUGCACCACAAUUUAAAAGCAUCAAUUCUUCUGUGCUCAGCCUUCCUUAUGGUCCAACUCUCACAUCCAUACAUGACUACUGGAAAGUCCAGUAGUCUGAUUUGAUGGACUAGAUGGACUUUGACUAGACGGACCUUUGUUGGUACAGUGAUGUCUCUGCUUUUUAAUAUGCUAUCUAGGUUUGUCCCAGAGUAGUUGACACCUGAGGGUAGUUGUGAAGUGGAGAGGAUUGCAGUGUGAGCCUGCAUGGAAGAGUACAGGGUGCUAGCACACAGCAAGGGGUAAGCAUGAUGGGGAGGCAGCCUCGGCUGGGGAGGCCACAGAGGCUUUUCCAGCAGGAAAGGGGACAUUGCUUUCGUUCCUGGGGCAGAGUUAGACUCCCAGCUCCUCAGUAACUAAACUUCCUCUUGGAGCCAUAUGUACAUCAGGAUCCGACAAUGAGCAUGCUAUGGGAUGACCCCAUCCAAUGUUGGCAUGAGCUGGGUGAACUUGGGUGAGUCCCUUCACGUAACUGGGUCCUUCUGGGUAGAAGUAGGGGCUUGGGUGAAGUCUUUCCUCCAGCUGUGAAUUCCAUCAUCAGUGUCUCUUCUCCAGUCUCUUUCUUGCCUACCUCUUCCCCUUUCCCUCCUUCCCUCCACGCCCCUCCCCCUGCCUCCUCUGCCAGCCCACUUCCUGCAGGCCAGAGUCAGGUGGGAGGAGGGCUCAGCACCUCCUUCCCGGGAGCCUAGCAUCCCAGCUUUGCUGUUAGGAACUUACUGCCCAUGAAGGUGAGAGGCUUUCACCUUCCUCCAGGGCUCCUUGGCAGAGCUGUCUGUGAGCUGAAAUGGGCACCCCCUCUGUCUUCCCCACGGGGGGCUAGGAAGGUGCUGGGUGAGGCAGGGGACCCUCACGAGGCUCUCAGGGUGGUCUGGCUGGGUCAAAGAGCACACAGCAUCUAGGCAAGUGGGGGUUGCCUGAGACUGAGGCCUCUGAACCUUGACAGAGGGCAGCUAGGAAGGACAGCUGAGCUUCUUCCGGGAGGGGGAGCAGUUAGUGCUCUGAUCAGUGCUCCCUGACAGAAGCAAGGCUGCCUCUGCUUCUGGGGAGAGGUUGGGUGUGUCUGCCUGGCAGAGAUUUCCAAAUUGGUGCCUGUGGCUGGGAAUUUUUCAUGGGGGUGGGGAUGGGGAUGGAGCACAAAGGCAACAAGUAACAACAGGUCUCCAGACACCUUUUCUUCCUACCUAGACAGAGGUCAGGGCUUCCCAGGUGGCACUAGUGGUAAAGAACUCACCUGCUAGUGUAGGUUAGACAUAAGAGAUGCAGGGAUUGAACCCGGGGUCCUUGUAUUAUGAGUGUGGAGUCUAAGUCACUGGACCACCAGGGAAGUCUCACGCAGAGCAUUUAGAAUCGCACUCGGCCCACAGAGAGCACACAGAGGGGCAAGAAACGCCGUCGUUACUGCAGGAGAGGGCCUAGCCCCGCGUUCCACAGAGCUCCUGUCUUCCUGUCUGCGCAUUCUUCCUGCUACCCGUCAGUUGGUCUUUCUCAGGAAGCUUCUUUUUACCUAACCCUUUCGUCCUCUCCUUUGCUCGG
ensembl:lncRNA